rnacentral:rRNA from 1 species
GAUGCCGGCGGGCUAAUACAUGCAGUCGAGCGAAUGGAUUAAGAGCUUGCUCUUAUGAAGUUAGCGGCGGACGGGUGAGUAACACGUGGGAAACCUGCCCAUAAGACUGGGAUAACUCCGGGAAACCGGGGCUAAUACCGGAUAACAUUUUGAACCGCAUGGUUCGAAAUUGAAAGGCGGCUUCGGCUGUCACUUAUGGAUGGACCCGCGUCGCAUUAGCUAGUUGGUGAGGUAACGGCUCACCAAGGCAACGAUGCGUAGCCGACCUGAGAGGGUGAUCGGCCACACUGGGACUGAGACACGGCCCAGACUCCUACGGGAGGCAGCAGUAGGGAAUCUUCCGCAAUGGACGAAAGUCUGACGGAGCAACGCCGCGUGAGUGAUGAAGGCUUUCGGGUCGUAAAACUCUGUUGUUAGGGAAGAACAAGUGCUAGUUGAAUAAGCUGGCACCUUGACGGUACCUAACCAGAAAGCCACGGCUAACUACGUGCCAGCAGCCGCGGUAAUACGUAGGUGGCAAGCGUUAUCCGGGAAUUAUUUGGGCGUAAAGCGCGCGCAGGUGGUUUCUUAAGUCUGAUGUGAAAGCCCUCGGCUCAACCCGUGGAGGGGUCUUUGGAAACUGGGAGACUUGCCCUGCAGAAGU